UCGAGAAUAAUUCGCAAUGGACGCAAGUCUGACGAUGCGACGCCGCGUGAAUGAUGAAGGCCUUCGGGUUGUAAAGUUCUGUCGCCUUAGAACAAGAGUAUGAGAGUAAUAUCCUCAUACAAUGAGAGUAUAAGGAGAGGAAGCACCGGCUAAUUCCGUGCCAGCAGCUGCGGUAAUACGGAAGGUGCAAGCGUUAGUCGGAGUUAUUGGGCGUAAAGGGUGCGUAGGCGGCAUUUUAAGUUGGAUGUGAAAUUUUGGGGCUCAACCCCAAAGCGGCAUCCAAAACUGGAGUGCUAGAGGAGUGGCGGAGAAAAUGGAAUUCCAUGUGUAGCGGUGAAAUGCGUAGAUAUAUGGAAGAACACCUGUGGCGAAAGCGGUUUUCUAGCCUUUUCCUGACGCUAAAGCACGAAAGCAAGGGGAGCAAACA
rnacentral:rRNA from 1 species